AGAUUGAACGCUGGCGGCAGGCCUAACACAUGCAAGUCGAGCGGUAGAGAGGUGCUUGCAUCUCUUGAGAGCGGCGGACGGGUGAGUAAUGCCUAGGAAUCUGCCUAGUGGUGGGGGAUAACGUUCGGAAACGGACGCUAAUACCGCAUACGUCCUACGGGAGAAAGCGGGGGACCUUCGGGCCUCGCGCCAUUAGAUGAGCCUAGGUCGGAUUAGCUAGUUGGUGAGGUAAUGGCUCACCAAGGCGACGAUCCGUAACUGGUCUGAGAGGAUGAUCAGCCACACUGGAACUGAGACACGGUCCAGACUCCUACGGGAGGCAGCAGUGGGAAUA
rnacentral:rRNA from 1 species